UACAGAGGGUGCAAACGUUGCUCGGAAUCAUUGGGCGUAAAGCGCACGUAGGCGGCUCAGCAAGCGGGGAGUGAAAGCCCUCGGCUUAACCGAGGAAGUGCUUUCCGAACUACUGAGCUUGAAUACCGGAGAGGAUCGCGGAAUUCCCGGUGUAGAGGUGAAAUUCGUAGAUAUCGGGAGGAACACCAGUGGCGAAGGCGCUGACCUGGACAAGCACUGACACUCAACUGCGAAAGCGUGGGGAGCAAACAGG
rnacentral:rRNA from 1 species